rnacentral:rRNA from 1 species
GAUAAACGCUGGCGGCGCACAUAAGACAUGCAAGUCGAACGGAAGUCGUUUUAAUGAUUUUGAAAUGAAAGAUUUAUCCGGAUUUGAUGAAGAUUUAAAACAAUGGCUUUAGUGGCGGACUGGUGAGUAACACGUAAGCAACCUGCCUGUUAGAGGGGAAUAACAACGAGAAAUCGUUGCUAAUACCGCAUAUGCCAUAAUAACCACAUGGUUAUAGUGGGAAAGGAGUAAUCCGCUAACAGAUGGGCUUGCGUCUGAUUAGCUAGUUGGUGGGGUAACGGCCUACCAAGGCGACGAUCAGUAGCCGGUCUGAGAGGAUGAACGGCCACAUUGGGACUGAGAUACGGCCCAGACUCCUACGGGAGGCAGCAGUGGGGAAUAUUGGGCAAUGGGGGAAACCCUGACCCAGCAACGCCGCGUGAAGGAAGAAAGGCCUUCGGGUUGUAAACUCUUUACCUAGGACGAAGAACGUAGACGGUACCUCGGAGAAAAAGACAACGGCUAACUAACGUGCCAGCAG